GACGAACGCUGGCGGCGUGCUUAACACAUGCAAGUCGAACGGAAAGGCCCCUUUGGGGGUCCUCGAGUGGCGAACGGGUGAGUAACACGUGAGUAACCUGCCCUUGACUUCGGGAUAACUUCAGGAAACUGGGGCUAAUACCGGAUAGGAAUCCUUGCUGCAUGGUGGGGGUUGGAAAGCUUCGGCGGUUUUGGAUGGACUCGCGGCUUAUCAGCUUGUUGGUGGGGUAGUGGCUUACCAAGGCUUUGACGGGUAGCCGGCCUGAGAGGGCGACCGGCCACAGUGGGACUGAGAUACGGCCCAGACUCCUACGGGAGGCAGCAGUGGGGAAUAUUGCACAAUGGGCGGAAGCCGGAUGCAGCAACGCCGCGGGCGGGAGGACGGCCUUCGGGUUGUAAACCGCUUUCAGCAGGGGCGAAGCUUGUGGUGACGGUACCUGCAGAAGAAGCACCGGCUAACUACGUG
rnacentral:rRNA from 1 species